rnacentral:rRNA from 1 species
AUGGGUAUGCAGGCUCUGAUGGAUGUCCGGUGCACGAACCUUGUCAACCAUGUAUGCGACUGGCUUGGUGAGAUCUACGAGCCUGCCUCCAGGGAAUUCGUGAUUCCGGGACGCGGAAGACUUCCGUUGAACGAGGAAUCCGUGUUCUGCACUUUGGGUGUGCCUCGUGGACAUAUCAAAGUCCCGUACGAGGUCAAUAAUGAGAUCGAGGAAGCGCUGUUCGCUCGUUUGUUUCCUAGAUUGGAGUCCAUGUCGAACACGUCUGUACUGGCAGAUUCGCUGCAGGCCAUGACGACGCACGGAGAUAUUUUCAAGAUGAAGCUACUCAUGUACCUCAUCUCAGCUGUUUUCGCGCCGACCAUUUCCCUUCGCGCAAGCAACAAAUGUUUCCCCAUCCUGGCGAAUCUGAAAAAUGUGAAGAACAUGAACUGGUGUAAGUUUAUUGCCGACUUUCUCCAUGAUGCUUUCAAAAACAAGAUGUACCAGAAGGGUUGUCGACUGCAUUUAAUGCUCAUGUAUGUCGACUGUCUUGAUCUGUCCACCGUGUAUUUCUCUGGGGUAGGAAGCCCGCCGCCUACGUACAAGUUUGCUGUUUCUGCAUGGACCAUCAACGCUGUCAAGGCUGUGCUUGCCGCAGACAGGGCAACUGAUACCACAUAUGGAAAACUACAGGUUAGUUUUUGUUUAUCUCUUCACACGGCAUGCUUACAAAUUUGA